rnacentral:tRNA from 1 species
GCCCGGAUGGCGGAAAUGGUAGACGCAGCAGACUUAAAAUCUUCGGCGCGAAAGCGCGUGCCGGUUCAAGUCCGGCUCCGGGCA